UACGAAGGGGGCUAGCGUUGCUCGGAAUUACUGGGCGUAAAGCGCACGUAGGCGGUCUUUUAAGUCGGGGGUGAAAUCCUGGAGCUCAACUCCAGAACUGCCUUCGAUACUGGAAGACUUGAGUCCGGGAGAGGUGAGUGGAACUGCGAGUGUAGAGGUGAAAUUCGUAGAUAUUCGCAAGAACACCAGUGGCGAAGGCGGCUCACUGGCCCGGUACUGACGCUGAGGUGCGAAAGCUAGGGGAGCAAACAGG
rnacentral:rRNA from 1 species